GUGCGCGCGCCCCGUGACCACGCCCUGUUGCUGGUGAAGGCCUCCAUCCCUCCUCCGGGCUCCGCUCUGGGCAUCCAGAGGAGAAAGACUUUGAAGUCCUCAGGGGACUUGCAAGCAGAAGUGGGGGAAAGGGUACCACAAAUGGAGAUGAAAUCUGUCUUUACUUUCCUGAUGUUCCUGGGCUUCAAAGCCAGAGCCAUGAGCCAUGGAAAGGCGGAGUUGGAAAGGACGCUGUCUCUGAUGUGACAUUCUAUGCUCAAAAAUGCCUUUGCCUGGCCUCUUUGUGUGACUUCAGUUGGAUACCAGUAACAGCUGCUUUCAAGGUCAAGUCUGGAAUGUUCCAAGGCACUGGACAUGAGACAUUCAAGAGCCUGGAGAAGAGACAAACGUUGUCUGUGCAAGGCCAGAGACAAGUAAAGGAGCCAUGGCUACAGUUUGUGGACCAGUAGUCUCUGGACCCCCAGUCUUCAGACUCUUAGGCCAGGGCUUGAGUCUCAGAUUUUGUUGUUUGGCACAGUGAGUGAGCUGGGCAUCGAUAUGGAGUCAGGUAGAAUAGAAAACAGGACUUACACUGAUACAUUACCUUGGUAAAGCUGUUGUGAGUGAAUACAAGGUUGGAUGAAUCAAGAACCCUUGGCAACAAUUGAUGCUCAAGAAGGAGGUGACUGUCCGAGAAGUAAUGAUGCCACAUCAAGUUGGCUCAAUAAAGAUGCGCUUUGUGCAUUUGCUUGCUUCAGAACAACAAGUAAUCAGGCUCCUUCCACCCCACUCAAAUGUUUGCAGAGGGGUGUUUGAUCAGUUCAAAUGUUAAUUUAGAAAUCACAUAUAUGGCCACUGUAACUGGAACACUUUCAGUGUUCUUUCUGGAAUGCUGUGGUAUGAGUUUGCUGAUAAAUGCCAGUGUUUGCAUCCAUUAUAAGGCUGGUGAGGACCAGUAGUUUCCUAGGCACAGUUUGAGAUAAACUAAAAAAUAAAAAGAACCAUUGCCCUGUGCCUA
rnacentral:lncRNA from 1 species